CGGCAUGCUUAACACAUGCAAGUCGAACGCGAACGGGCUUCGGCCCAAGUAGAGUGGCGGACGGGUGAGUAAUGCGUGGGAAUCUACCCUCGAGCGGGGGACAACCCGGGGAAACCCGGGCUAAUACCGCAUACGUCCUACGGGAGAAAGCGGGCCUCUACACUAUGCUCGCACUCGAGGAUGAGCCCACGUCCGAUUAGCUAGUUGGUAGGGUAACGGCCUACCAAGGCCACGAUCGGUAGCUGGUCUGAGAGGAUGAUCAGCCACACUGGGACUGAGACACGGCCCAGACUCCUACGGGAGGCAGCAGUGGGGAAUAUUGGACAAUGGGCGCAAGCCUGAUCCAGCAAUGCCGCGUGUGUGAAGAAGGCCUGCGGGUUGUAAAGCACUUUCAGUGGGGAAGAACGGAUACGGGCCAAUACCCCGCAUCACUGACGUUACCCACAGAAGAAGCACCGGCUAACUCCGUG
rnacentral:rRNA from 1 species